UGGUGUGCACUUUAGAAGAGAAAAGAGAAGAGAGUAACAGGCAAGAGUUGAGCUUUUGUGUUGAUUUUCCAAGGGCGAUGGCACACAAACUAUAACACCCUUCCGAAUCUAGGUCCGAUUAAAAACAACGACUCUGUAAACCGAGAAAGCUUCCCGGACUCAAAAGCUUCAAAUACAAGAGAGACAGACAGUUCUACUCUCCACACAAAACUGUACACCGGCAGCCAUGACUAUAUUUUGCGGCGUUGCGAGACAUCAACAGAUAGACAGAAACGGGGGGAGGCGAGGAAGAGAGGGGAAAAAAAAAAGAAUAACAAGUCUCGUCGUACCACUCGUUUCCUAGUCUCAUCAAAUGUCACAAUUCUUUCUUUUUUUCUUUCAACAGACGGAAGACCUAUGUAAAAGAAACCAUCUCUUGUUUGUUGUGUUUUAAUUAUCAUUGGGAUUUCCUUCUUAUACACCAAAGUCACUGGAGCUCAUUGUUGCGUUGUUCGUCGUUGUUCUGACGCCGGCGCCGAAUGGACACACUCGCGAUCGUUCGGUUUUGCUAGAAGCUUUACAACGGAUAUACUAUGUCUGUCUAGAUAGAACUGCUAUCUGAGCAAACAAAUUAUAAACGUGCUGUUAUAGUUCCCAUUAAAAAACAAAAACCCACCGAGAAAAAACAAACAAAAACAAAACCAAAGCUGACAGAAAAGAUUCGACUGUAACUGUGAAGACGGAUUUGUGUAAGAAUGCAUUUAUUUUCUUAGCGCCAAAACAGCUGGAUACUGCUGACCCCGAGAGUCACGAAAAUUAAAGACUCUGACGAAUGAUAUUUCUUUGACUUUGAGGUUCUCACUUUUCUUCUUGUGUAACAGUAACGCGCUAAUUAGGCACAGGAUUUUGUUAUCUACCUUUUGACAAUGUUCACACAGCAACACGAGCCUCUCCUUCUGUCUCAUAUAUAUAGAUCGCCAGCUGGAACGUGCUACGGCUAUUCAACGGACCGAACCCCCCUCCGCUUCUGGGUCCUCAUCACUCGAAAAACUCCAAACCGACAUUUUUGAAUGACUGAGUGUGAGGGGAGCAAAAGGCGAGGAACUCUUUUGCUGAGAGCUAUUGUUAAAGCGCCAUGUUCUGAGCUGCUGCUGGUUCAAAUAUAAACAGUCGUUCAUAAUACUUUUUUUUUGUGUGUCCCAGAAGCCUCGUCGUUCUCACUGAGCUCUUUCAAAAUUUUUCUAAAUAAAAAUGGAGCAGUUUAAGUCUGCAGAAUAAUCACAUUUUCAGUCCCAAGAAAUUUCUUGAGCUCUAAACAAAUCGAUUGCAUGACUCAAAAGGGAGAUUACAGCUAGAUGACGACGAAGUCUCUUGUAACUGAC